CCUACGGGAGGCAGCAGUAGGGAAUAUUGGACAAUGGACGCAAGUCUGAUCCAGCCAUCCCGCGUGAAGGAUUAAGGCCCUAUGGGUUGUAAACUUCUUUUCUUUGGGAAUAAAAAGCGGUAUUCAUAUCGCCUUGAAGGUACCAGAGGAAUAAGCACCGGCUAACUCCGUGCCAGCAGCCGCGGUAAUACGGAGGGUGCAAGCGUUAUCCGGAUUCACUGGGUUUAAAGGGUGCGUAGGUGGCUUUGUAAGUCAGCGGUGAAAGCCUGGAGCUCAACUCCAGAAUUGCCAUUGAUACUGCAGAGCUUGAAUCAAGUUGAGGUGGAUGGAAUAUUACAUGUAGCGGUGAAAUGCUUAGAUAUGUAAUAGAACACCGAUUGCGAAGGCAGUUCACUAAGCUUGUAUUGACACUGGAGGCGACGAACGACGGUGGGGUAGUACAAACAGGAGUUAGUAUACCUCGGUAGUCCACCGACCCUAAACCGACUAGCAACUACGACAUUAGUCGAUAUACUAGUUAGUGUCCGACGACGAAGACGUUAAGUUUAGUCCGACCGUGGUAAGGUACGACCGCGAGGUUAGUUAACGUUACGAAGAAGUUAGUUAGGCGGNGNGAGAGCGACGGACGGACCGACCGACGGGAGGGAGGAGG
rnacentral:rRNA from 1 species